AUGUAUAUAUAUAUAUACGAAGCCAUCGGGGUGAGUGGUUCUCUUCAUGCUACACGAGUCACCGAGUUUCACCACAUAACAAAAAUUUCACCACACCGUUUAAUAGCAACAAUGCUAGAAAGAAGAAAUAGAAAAAUGAGAGGCCAGGUAAGCUUGAGAAAAGGAGACAUCAGGAAUGAAACACGUUGGAUCAAACAAGACAGACUUGCUCCAGCAAGCGAUGCUUCAACGCCACACCUUUCUUUCCUUUGGAUAAUGAAACAUCCAGGUUUCUGCAUGAGGAAGAAAUGUAGCAACAUAGCAGAAACACAUGGAGAUACGUGCAAUGUAACCUGA
rnacentral:rRNA from 1 species